rnacentral:rRNA from 1 species
GUGUCAGCAGCCGCGGUAAUACGUAGGGUGCGAGCGUUAAUCGGAAUUACUGGGCGUAAAGCGUGCGCAGGCGGUUCUGCAAGUCAGAUGUGAAAUCCCCGGGCUUAACCUGGGAACUGCGUUUGAAACUACGGAGCUAGAGUACGGCAGAGGGGGGUGGAAUUCCACGUGUAGCAGUGAAAUGCGUAGAUAUGUGGAGGAACACCGAUGGCGAAGGCAGCCCCCUGGGCCGAUACUGACGCUCAGGCACGAAAGCGUGGGGAGCAAACAGGAUUAGAUACCCCCGUAGUCC